rnacentral:rRNA from 1 species
GACGAACGCUGGCGGCGUGCUUAACACAUGCAAGUCGUAGCGGUAAGGCCCUUUCGGGGGUACACGAGCGGCGAACGGGUGAGUAACACGUGGGUGACCUGCCCUCAGCUCUGGGAUAAGCCUGGGAAACCGGGUCUAAUACUGGAUAUGACUCCAUGACGCAUGUUGUGGGGUGGAAAGCCUUGUGCGGCUGAGGAUGGGCCCGCGGCCUAUCAGCUUGUUGUGGGGUGAUGGCCUACCAAGGCGACGACGGGUAGCCGGCCUGAGAGGGCGACCGGCCACACUGGGACUGAGACACGGCCCAGACUCCUACGGGAGGCAGCAGUGGGGAAUCUUGCGCAAUGGGCGAAAGCCUGACGCAGCGACGCCG